UACGUAGGGUGCGAGCGUUAAUCGGAAUUACUGGGCGUAAAGCGUGCGCAGGCGGUUUUUCAAGACCGAUGUGAAAUCCCCGGGCUUAACCUGGGAAUGGCAUUGGUGACUGGAAGGCUAGAGUGUGUCAGAGGGGGGUAGAAUUCCACGUGUAGCAGUGAAAUGCGUAGAGAUGUGGAGGAAUACCGAUGGCGAAGGCAGCACCCUGGGAUAACACUGACGCUCAUGCACGAAAGCGUGGGGAGCAAACAGG
rnacentral:rRNA from 1 species